rnacentral:rRNA from 1 species
UACGUAGGCAGCGAGCGUUGUUCGGAGUUACUGGGCGUAAAGGGUGUGUAGGCGGUUCUUUUAAGUUUGGUGUGAAAUCUCCCGGCUCAACCGGGAGGGUGCGCCGAAUACUGAGGGACUAGAGUACGGGAGAGGAAAGUGGAAUUCCUGGUGUAGCGGUGAAAUGCGCAGAUAUCAGGAAGAACACCAAUGGCGAAAGCAGCUUUCUGGGACGGUACUGACGCUGAGACGCGAAAGCGUGGGGAGCGAACAGG